CUCCUCGCUGUUUGCACCUCAGUUGGAGGAGGCUGCCUCGGCUCCCUGUUCCUGGGUGCGUCGAGUAUUUAUUCCACUUUCUUGGAUACUCCAGGUCACGUUUCGUUCUACAUCUACAGCAGGUACUCCGCUCUGAAGAAACUUCUCUUCACACAUACCAUUAUACCCAGGAGGAUAAAAAUAGUGCCGGUGCAGCUCUGGACAUAAUUUGAUUUUACACAACUGAGAUGUGGACUGUGCCAAAGGAGCUGGGACUCGACAUCAGGAAUAGGCUAUGUUUUUAAUAUUUUGUAGGUUCUGUGCAGAUGCCAGCUUAGGGUCACACUGCAAAAAAA